AUUUUAAUUUUUCCAUUAUAGUUGAUUUACAGUGUUCUGUCAAUUUUCUACUGUACAGCAAAGUGACCCAUUCUCUCUCUCUCACACACACACACACACAUAUAUAUUCUUCUUCUCACAUUAUCCUCCUUCAUGCUCUAUCGCAAGUGACUAGAUAUAGUUCCCAGUGCUAUACAGCAGGAUCUCAUUGCUUAUCCAUUCUAAAUGCAAUACUUUACAUCUGUUAAUUCUAUAUUCCCAGUCCAUCCCACUUCCUCCCCUUCCUCCUUAGCAACCACAAGUCUGUUCUCCAAGUCCAUGAGCCAAAACAGCAAUUUCUAAAAGACACACUGGCAUACAAGUUUUCAAUUUGGUAUUUAUUGUUGGUUUAUUUAACUAGCCCAGGUAGUAUCCAUAAAGCUCCUGGUACACAACACACAGUAAUCUCUCUGUUAACGUAGUGAGUGAAUUGUGGCAAAAGCCAAAUGCUAAAGGAUGCCAGAGUCAUAGCAUUUGUUCUCUGUAUUACAUCUUCCGAGAUCCAUAACCAAGGGAAACAUAAAACAGGCCAUCAAAACAAACAAAAUGAACACUUCACAAAUGAAAUGUCACAAUUACACUGCCACUGUAUUAAAAUAGAAGUUUAUGAAUAUACAACUCUUACGAUGAGAAGCAUCAUGUCUAUAUAUGUGACUCCAGAAGAAUUUUAAGGUAUAUGCUAUAAUACCAUUGAUAUAUUUUUACACGAUCCCUUGCAUUAUCUAGUUAAGAAAUAGUACUUUGAGGUCUGAACUAAAAGUUCCUUGCUAACUCCAAAUAAUGAAUCCUAGGAGCUAGAGAUUACUGAGAUUAACGCUGGUAUAGCAACCAGAGUACCUGGGUUCUAGCGUGAGAUCUAUCAUCUACUAGGUUUUUGGCUUUGCGCAAAGUACAAAAUCCUCUGGUAUCUCAGUUAGUGCUUCCACCAAACAAAAUGAUACCUGAAUUCCUUACUCAGGGUGGUUACUGUGAAAAUUAAAUUAAUAAAACUGUAAGCAAUUGGAAGCUGGCAAACCCUAUUUAAAACAGGAAGUAGGCAGAGGAGUUCCCAAUGUGGCUUAGCAGGUUAAGAACCUAACAUGGUAUCCAUGAGGAUGCAGGUUUGAUCCCUGGCCUCUCUCAGUAGGUUAAGGAUCUGGUAUUUGCCACAAGCUGCGGUGUAGCUCACAGAUACGGCUCAGAUCUUGUGUUGCUGUGACUGUGGUGUAGACCAGCAGCUGCAGCUCCAAUUCAACCUUUAGCCUGAGAACUGCUAUAUGCUGCAAGUUUGUCAUUAAAACUAAAAAAAGAAAUAAAAAACAACAACAAAAAAAAAAAACCUAGGAAGUAGUGAAAUAUUUGGUUCUUCAAAUAAGAGAAAUAGAUACACAGACAGGAGAAAACAGUUGAGAUGCACAAUUUCACUGAUCAUUAAAAAUACUCAUGGGACAGCCUCUGCAGGAUACAGGAGCAUUUUUUUUAGUCUGUCCAUCUGUGUCUUCAUUCAACACAUAUAUAUUGAGUGCCUACUGAGAACCAAGCAGUAUUUUGGCCAUGGGAUUGUAGCAAUGAAUACAAUGAAUAUGCUCCUUUAUGCCAAGAAGCUAACAUUCUAAUGGGAGAAAAGGACCAAAAAACAAGUAGCUCAAUAUCAAGUGCUAUGAAAUCAUCAUGCAUAAUCAUGACAGGGAAAGUCAUGGGCAAACGCACAUUCUGGAUGGGUGGAAAAGUGCUCUCUGAGAUGGUAACGUUGGAGAGGCAGGAAGUGAAUGGUAAGAAGAAAACUUUAGGUGUGUUGCUGUUCCUUCAUCUCAGUUCCCUGGCUAUUGAAGGCUGAACACACGACUAAGCGAUCCAGUGAAAUAUCCUGUCCUAGGAAUUUGGAAUCAGGUUUCCAAAACUGUUAUGUUUUAAAGUGUGCAAACCAGGCAGUGAUAUAAAUAUGGCUUGGGCAGCUUAUUUCUGCUGGGCAACCCAAGACCAUGGAUCAACCAAAGAAUGAAGGAGAUGAGCACAGAGAAGGAGAGAGGAGAGACUACCCGGUCCAAGGGAGAUGGACCGACCUCAGUUUUGCAUGGCUUUCCAUGGUUCCAAUCCUUUUGGAGGUACCACUGUGUUUUAAGCCCAUGGGAUCCAUGAGGUCCAUCUAGAUCCUUCAGAUAAAUUCCCCUCUUUUUGGCUUGAAGUGUUACCAAAGAAUUUAUCUUUCUAAAAGAUGGUUACUACAACUGGGUUACAUUGCUAUCCUAGCUCCAUCUGGAAACGCAUUAGGAAGCCAUUUAUCAAAUUCAUCCUAAACACUGUCAGCUAAGAGAAAGCAUGAUAUGGUGGGAGGCGCAUGGGAUAGAGAUGUGAGGAUAGCCAGCCAAAGGGACAGCUCAGAAUGUCCCCAAAAAUCAGAUUAGGCAGACUCUUGCAUCAUGGCCGUCCAAAUGGAGAACUGCUGGGCUCUAUCACCUGGUUUCCUAAAAUAAGCCUACCUCUGAAAAGCCUGUCAGGACAAGGGGGCCAGUUUGCUCAUUUUAAAAUCUUCAGCUUUGUUUGUUUGUUUGGCUGUUCCUGCAGCCUAAGGAAGUUCUCGGGCCAGGAAUAAAAUCCAAGCUGCAGCUGCAACCUAUGCCAUAGCUGCAGCCAAACUGGAUUUUUAAUCCACCACGUCAGGCCCAGGAUCAAACCUGUGCCUCAGCAGUGAUCCAAGCUGCUGCAGUCAAAUCCUUAACCUACUGUGCCACAGCAGGAAUCCCAAAAUCUUCAGUUUUUUUUCUUAAAAUAUAUAUCAAAAUUUCACUCCAAACAUAUUACAGAAGUAUUUGCAUGAGCAUGCAUUUUUACACAUACAAGGAUUUUUAUUGCAGCAGCCUCUAAUAGUGAAAAUUGGAAAUAACAAAAAUAUGCAUGAAAAGGCAACUGGUUUACUGAAGUAUAAACCAGGAACAUCAGAUAGUUAAAAAGUAAUUAGGUAAAUCUACAUGUCUUGGCAUGCACUGUCGAUCAAAAUAUAUUGGCAAGGAGAAAAAAGCAAAGCUUCAGGAAAGAUUAUAUGUUAUCUUAGGUUCAAAUACAAGCAUAUAUGUGUGCAGAUUUAUCCAGUGUAAUCUGAAUAUGCAAAAAAAAAAAAAAAAAAGUCAGNAAUUCUUCAUUAAGGAGAUUUUUGCCAGAUCAGGAUUAAAGAGGUACUUUCACGUUCUGAUUUGUUAUUUUCUCCCUUGUUAGCAUUUUUCACAAAUAUGCACCACUCUUCUAAUCAGUGAGCCAAUAGAGAUAUUAAACUCCAUCUGUGCCUGUGCAGAAAAUGAAAGAGAUGUCCAACUGUACAGAAACGGUGGGCAAACGCAGAGAUUUAGAAAUGUGGGGGAAUAUAAAAUUUUCCUCUCUUUUUAACUGCACUCCAGUCCUAUAAAGAAAGAAAACCCUAGUGAUUUCACAUCCUGCUCAUAGAAGCCGGCAGUUUUAGCAAGGCACAAAGUGCUGAAGGUACUAAAAAUAACCUCCAUACCACACAGCACCCAGCUUUCAUUUAACUCCCUUGGCUAUAAAUAUCUUUAAGAAUAACACCCAUACUCUCGAGAGUACUCCUAAAAGUGAGGCUGGAGAGGAAGUCGCGCUACUUUCUAGGCUGGAAUAUGGCUUUGGCAAAAGAGAGAGCUCUUCUGGGGAAGGAAGAACAGGGUUGUCAUAGCACCCUGACAGGCUUUCCCCAAAAGGCUAAAUUGGGAGAUCACUGUACUCGGGUUAAAAAUAAAGCAGAGACUUUUCUGCAGAAACAGGUGAUGGGAAUUUUGCCUGUUGGUGAGGAUUCUCUCAUCUGGCACAGCAGGCAAAGUUCCUGGUGGGGCCCUUCCCUUUGUGAGCAAGCAAUGCGAGAUCCGCUUCCUUGGGACUGGGCUGCCAUAGACGCAUGUGCUCUUCAUUUGUAAACACGUUCGUAGUUUAUUUAGGAAUGUGCCAAGACACGUCCUCUCACUUCCCCUCAUACUUAGGAACAUCACACACCAAUUACCAACUGUUUGGCUGUAAUUUUUUUUUUUAAUUUCUUUUCUUCCUUUCCUGCGAAUUUUGGACUCAUUCAAUGGAGCUCAGAAGGAAAAAAAAAAAAAGAGACUCCUCAUCCCCAGCACUUAUCUGGUUCUUUUAUUGUGUCUGAGGUCUACAUCACAGUUACAAGAGCAGAAAUAUACCUAAAAUCUCACGUUCUUCCUCAUUUAUUUUGGGGACAGUAUUCCCUUCAAGACACUAGCCCACAUGAAAAAAUGCUAAGAAUGUUUGGAUUGGCUGGAUUUUUCCUUGUAAGCAGUUUUGUUUUGUUUUCUUACUAAAAUGAUAAAUCCUACAGCUUUAUUAUGUUACAAAAGGCCUCCUAGCAGGUUGUGGAUAUAAAGAGGUGGGCAAAACCACACAAACAAACCUAGAGCCAUUUUAUCUGUAAAUUACAUUAUUUAUGAUUUCAGGAAACCAAGGGUGAGAUAAUCCAUGUAUCUUCAUCCUUUCUUCACCAGUAUUUGGGAGAAGAGAAUUAAAAUAAUUAUGUAACUAGAGAGUAAAACUGGAACAGCAUCUUUGUCUUUUCCACCUUAGAAAACUGGCCUUUCUAAUGGUUAAGAUUCCCAUUCACUCACUGGGUCAUUCAUCCAAGCAAUGAGAGCCUGGCCAGCCAGUGCCAGGCUGAGGUUUGAAGCUCUGCAUUCCUCCUUGAUGAUUUUAAUGGGGCUUACGCUGUGGAAGCCAGAAAAUUGUAGAGGUCAUCUGUAGCCCACAUACCCCACAUGAUUCAGCUUGCCCUUAGUAUGGCUUUUUUCUAACACAGAAA
rnacentral:lncRNA from 1 species